rnacentral:rRNA from 1 species
UGGGGAAUAUUGCACAAUGGGCGCAAGCCUGAUGCAGCCAUGCCGCGUGUAUGAAGAAGGCCUUCGGGUUGUAAAGUACUUUCAGCGGGGAGGAAGGUGUUGAGGUUAAUAACCUCAGCAAUUGACGUUACCCGCAGAAGAAGCACCGGCUAACUCCGUGCAAGCAGCCGCGGUAAUACGGAGGGUGCAAGCGUUAAUCGGAAUUACUGGGCGUAAAGCGCACGCAGGCGGUCUGUCAAGUCGGAUGUGAAAUCCCCGGGCUCAACCUGGGAACUGCAUUCGAAACUGGCAGGCUAGAGUCUUGUAGAGGGGGGUAGAAUUCCAGGUGUAGCGGUGAAAUGCGUAGAGAUCUGGAGGAAUACCGGUGGCGAAGGCGGCCCCCUGGACAAAGACUGACGCUCAGGUGCGAAAGCGUGGGGAGCAAACA